UACGGAGGGAGCUAGCGUUGUUCGGAAUUACUGGGCGUAAAGCGCACGUAGGCGGCUUUGUAAGUUAGAGGUGAAAGCCCGGAGCUCAACUCCGGAACUGCCUUUAAGACUGCAUCGCUUGAAUCCAGGAGAGGUGAGUGGAAUUCCGAGUGUAGAGGUGAAAUUCGUAGAUAUUCGGAAGAACACCAGUGGCGAAGGCGGCUCACUGGACUGGUAUUGACGCUGAGGUGGCGAAAAGCGU
rnacentral:rRNA from 1 species